UUUAAAGACCAAACAGCCUAUUGUUUAUGCGCAUCAACUAACGCAACUUGGUAGUGACAUAAAAGCUCUAUGACGUUGUUUCUAGCAAUGAAAAAAACGUCAAAUUAAAAUGUCCUAUUUCACGUUUUUCACGGAUUCCAACAUGGUGUACGCUUAAAAAUACGUCUCCCAAGAAAAGAGGAAUUAAGCGUCGAGCUGAUAUCUUGUGGAAAUUUAACACAAAUGGACACAAAAGAUACUACACUAUAUAUAACCUUCGUUCUAAUAAAAAAACAAUAAAAUAUAAAUUUUGAUCUCGACUUUUUUGCGCCGAUAUGCAUUUUUUUUUUAUUCUUUCACAUGCGUAGAUUUUGUCUUUUAUUUCCGCUGAUUUGCAUUUCAUUUUUUUUUAAUUCUUUCACUUGUGUAGAUUUUGUCUUUCA
rnacentral:lncRNA from 1 species